rnacentral:rRNA from 1 species
AUUGAACGCUGGCGGCAGGCCUAACACAUGCAAGUCGAGCGGAUGAAGGGAGCUUGCUCCUGGAUUCAGCGGCGGACGGGUGAGUAAUGCCUAGGAAUCUGCCUGGUAGUGGGGGAUAACGUCCGGAAACGGGCGCUAAUACCGCAUACGUCCUGAGGGAGAAGGUGGGGGAUCUUCGGACCUCACGCUAUCAGAUGAGCCUAGGUCGGAUUAGCUAGUUGGUGGGGUAAAGGCCUACCAAGGCGACGAUCCGUAACUGGUCUGAGAGGAUGAUCAGUCACACUGGAACUGAGACACGGUCCAGACUCCUACGGGAGGCAGCAGUGGGGAAUAUUGGACAAUGGGCGAAAGCCUGAUCCAGCCAUGCCGCGUGUGUGAAGAAGGUCUUCGGAUUGUAAAGCACUUUAAGUUGGGAGGAAGGGCAGUAAGUUAAUACCUUGCUGUUUUGACGGUACCAACAGAAUAAGCACCGGCUAACUUCGUG